rnacentral:rRNA from 1 species
UACGUAGGGAGCGAGCGUUGUCCGGAUUCAUUGGGCGUAAAGAGCUCGUAGGCGGCUUGGCAAGUCGGGUGUGAAAACUCCAGGCUCAACCUGGAGUCGCCAUCCGAUACUGCUGUGGCUAGAGUCCGGUAGGGGCCCACGGAACUCCUGGUGUAGCGGUGAAAUGCGUAGAGAUCCGGAGGAACACCAAAGGCGGAAGGCAGUGUCCUGGGGACGUACCUGACGCUCAGGUGCGAAAGCCAGGGAGCGGAACGGGAU